rnacentral:rRNA from 1 species
CCUACGGGUGUCAGCAGUGGGGAAUAUUGGACAAUGGGGGCAACCCUGAUCCAGCCAUGCCGCGUGUGUGAAGAAGGCCCUCGGGUUGUAAAGCACUUUCAGUGAGGAAGAACGCCUGGUGGUUAAUACCCAUCAGGAAAGACAUCACUCACAGAAGAAGCACCGGCUAACUCCGUGCCAGCAGCCGCGGUAAUACGGAGGGUGCGAGCGUUAAUCGGAAUUACUGGGCGUAAAGCGCGCGUAGGUGGCUUGAUAAGCCGGUUGUGAAAGCCCCGGGCUCAACCUGGGAACGGCAUCCGGAACUGUCAAGCUAGAGUGCAGGAGAGGAAGGUAGAAUUCCCGGUGUAGCGGUGAAAUGCGUAGAGAUCGGGAGGAAUACCAGUGGCGAAGGCGGCCUUCUGGACUGACACUGACACUGAGGUGCGAAAGCGUGGGUAGCAAACAGGAUUAGAUACCCUAGUAGUC